GAUGAACGCUGGCGGCGUGCCUAAUACAUGCAAGUCGAACGGUGAAAGCGGAGCUUGCUCCGCUGGAUCAGUGGCGAACGGGUGAGUAACACGUGGGCAACCUGCCCCUCACUUCGGGAUAACUCCGGGGAACCGGGGCUAAUACCGGAUAUGACCUCCUUGGGCAUCCUUGGCGGUGGAAAGUUUUUCGGUGAGGGAUGGGCCCGCGGCCUGUCAGCUUGUUGGUGAGGUAGUGGCUCACCAAGGCGACGACGGGUAGCCGGCCUGAGAGGGCGACCGGCCACACUGGGACUGAGACACGGCCCAGACUCCUACGGGAGGCAGCAGUGGGGAAUAUUGCGCAAUGGGCGAAAGCCUGACGCAGCAACGCCGCGUGCGGGAUGACGGCCUUCGGGUUGUAAACCGCUUUCAGCAGGGAGGAAGCCGCAAGGUGACGGUACCUGCAGAAGAAGCACCGGCUAACUACGUGCCAGCAGCCGCAGUAA
rnacentral:rRNA from 1 species